rnacentral:lncRNA from 1 species
GUCAACUUUCCAAAUCUAAGCUAUGGUACACUCGAAAUAAAAAGUUUUAAAAUAUAAUUGAGUAAGCAUUUAUAUUUUAAAAUAUAGAAAUCUCUUCAUUUUGAACAUGUUCUUGGCCUGCAUGUGGUUUGGAGGCCCUGGGGCCUGCUUUUCAGGAGGACCUGGGAGGAUCAAGUGGGCCACAGACGACUUAAGGAGCGCCAAUGGGUUGCCAAGAGUCAGGACAGACCGUUAAUCGGAUGAGGAAGUAGGAAAGAGGGCAGGCAGCCAGUACGCUGAAGAGACCAGUGUGUACUACACCCUUUCCUUAUCCAGGAGAAUGGCAACUUCUACGAGGAGAGGUCUAAGAGCAAGUUUCAAUGACAUGAAGUUCUGCCGUUUGACCAGCAGAUCAGCAGGAGAAGACAAAGCGCUCAGGAGAGCAGCAGUGAGGCCAGUGGGCUCCCUGUGGGGGAAAGAAUGGAGGUAGGGAGGAGAGAAUAGUUAAGACUC